GGCGUGCUUACACAUGCAAGUCGAACGAACCUUCGGGUUAGUGGCGGACGGGUGAGUAACGCGUGAGAAUCUACCCUCAGGAGGGGGAUAACGGUUGGAAACGACCGCUAAUACCCCAUAUGCCUAUUGGUGAAAUGAAUUUCGCCUGAGGAUGAGCUCGCGUCUGAUUAGCUAGUUGGCGAGGUAAUGGCUCACCAAGGCUUCGAUCAGUAGCUGGUCUGAGAGGAUGAUCAGCCACACUGGGACUGAGACACGGCCCAGACUCCUACGGGAGGCAGCAGUGGGGAAUUUUCCGCAAUGGGCGAAAGCCUGACGGAGCAACGCCGCGUGAGGGACGAAGGCCUCUGGGCUGUAAACCUCUUUUCUCAAGGAAGAAGAUAUGACGGUACUUGAGGAAUAAGCCACGGCUAAUUCCGUGCCAGCAGCCGCGGUAAUACGGGAGUGGCAAGCGUUAUCCGGAAUUAUUGGGCGUAAAGCGUCCGCAGGCGGCUUUUCAAGUCUGCUGUUUAAACGUGGAGCUUAACUCCAUCAUGGCAGUGGAAACUGAAAGGCUUGA
rnacentral:rRNA from 1 species